rnacentral:rRNA from 1 species
GAUGAACGCUGGCGGCGUGCCUAAUACAUGCAAGUCGAGCGAACAGACGCGGCUCUUGCUCCUCUGACGUUAGCGGCGGACGGGUGUGUAACACGUGGAUAACCUCCCUAUCAGACUGGGAUAACUUCGGGAAACCGGCUCUAAUACCGGAUAACCUGUUGAACCGCAUGGUUGAUCAGUAAAAGUCGGUCUUGCUGUCACUUAUAGCUGGAUCCGCGCCGCAUUAGCUAGUUGGUAAGGUAACGGCUUACCAAGGCAACCAUGCGUAGCCGAACUGAGAGGGGGAUCGGCCACAUGGGAAGGUAGACACGGACCAGACGCCUACGGGAGGGAGCAGAAGGGAAUCGGCGGCAAUGGGCGGAAGCCUGACGGAGUAAGGCCGCGUGAGUGAAGAAGGUCUUCGGAUCGUAAAACUCUGUUAUUAGGGAAGAACAAAUGUGUAAGUAACUAUGCAGGGCUUGACGGUACCUAAUCAGAAAGCCACGGCUAACUACGUG